rnacentral:misc_RNA from 1 species
UCGAGUUUUUAACUCUUAAACCAUUUGUGAACUUACCUUCUGGCUGCUUUGGCAGGUCCUUCGGGAUUUGCCGGUAGCACAAACAAACUCUUUAUAUUUCUAGAGAAUUAUUCAUUGCUGAAGUGGGCAUUAACUAAAUAGAAUUUAAUAAU